rnacentral:tRNA from 1 species
GGGGCAUUGAAGGGAAUUGGUCUACCUUCCUGACUUAGAAUCAGGAGCUUCUCGGUUCGAGUCCGAGGUGCCCUACCA